GGAGCUAGUUGUAUUUUGUUUGAAUUGUAUGAUGCGUAUGUUUAAUAAUUAUAAUUGUCUUACGGUUGUACUGUAAUUGUGGUUGUAAGCAUGUUGAGUUGCGUUUGUGGAAAUUAUGAAAUGUGUGUAACUACUGAAGAUUGAUAUGAACUACAAAAUAUGAAGUUUUCUGGUUGUUUGUUUUCCUGACUGCUAUCUAGGUUUUGCUCCCCCGUAGAGAACAUUUCUGUUUUGCAUGAGAUGAACUUCUGUUAAUCUGAUUUACAUAAGCUAUAGGCUAAGUAUUUUCUUUUCAUGCCUCACUUGUCAGGUUGGUCUUUCAUCUCUCAAUUUAGGAAUAUGUCCAAAAUUGAGUACACUCAGCAUUAAAGCACCUUAUAUGGUUUCAGUUGAGUUGAAAGGAUGUGGUGUACUAUCUGAAGCAUUCAUUAAUUGUCCACUCUUAACAUCUCUCGAUGCUUCCUUUUCCAACUAACUGAUGACUGCUUGUCUGCUACAACUAUCUCAUGCCCACUGAUUGAGUCAUUGAUAUUGAUAUCAUGCCCAUCAAUUGUAUUAGAAAGUCUUCGAUCUUUAUUUUGUCUUCCAAAUUUGAUUGUUCUUGACUUAUCAUACACUUUCUUGGUGAACUUGCAACCUGUUUUUUAUUCUUGUUUACAGCAAAAGGUUAGAGUUGCCAUAGCAUGGUUUCUUAUUCUUGUACAUUCUUUUAAUCACGAGUAUUGCUAAUGAGAUGGGUUUAGAACAAUCAUACCUUUUUUUUAUAAUCAGUAAUGUGUACUGUUAUCAUGGUAUCUUAUUCCCAUAAUUCCAAUCUGUCAUUUCCCUUUCAUUUCAUUAUUGAUAAUUUGGCAUUUUAUAUUAGUGUUAUUGUUUUUAUUAUCUUCAUUUGCUGAUAGUGCUACUUUUUUUUCUUGCUUCUAGCUAUCACAAAUUGAUUUAUUAAUGUUGUGUAGAUCUUUUUGUAAGUGUAAUUGAAACUACAAGUUGUAAUCUACAGAAACGGCUUCUGUUGUUGGCCACAUAGCAAUGAUGACUGAUCACUACAAUGUGCUGAUUCGAUGGGCGAUAAUAUACUUGUUGGACAAAGUCAAAGUCAGAGAGUUACUAACUUGAUUUGGGCAAGACAAUAUUCGUUAGGGUAGAUCAAAGUCAAAGAGCUCACUAACUUGAAAGUCGCUAAAGAUUUAGCUGUCUCUAGGUCGUGUCUCUGGUGCAAACGACAACAGUGUGGGGUAAGUUCCACUUUGUUGUAAUUGUCGUAGUUUUAAUUGUUGUCAUCUUCACAACUGAGGAUCUUACUAGGUCAUCUUCACUUUGCUCACUACUCAUUUACCUGAACACCGCGAGCACCUCCUACUUUGCUCACUACUGCCGAUACUUUUUUUAUAUGUUUUCGUUAUCGCAUUGACCACUCCUCCCUGGCGACCCUUCCCCUGCUUAGGUUCACGAUCGUCAUGGAACUCACAAUAUUGGCAACACCGACGAGGUUUUGAUAAACUUUGAGAGUCACAGAUGUAAUAAGAAGAAAACAAAGGAAUUAUGACCAAAACACAACAAACUGACUUAAGUGUGGUUGCAACGUGGAAUUUGAGGCUUGAGUCACACGGAGAAAACUCGCCUUAGAAAGAAACCUCAAGCCUUUACCUGAGGUUAAAGCCAUGAAGAAUCAUUCACUUAGAGGUAAUCUUAAGAGGCUUCAACACAAAAACACAAAGCCUAAGCUAUAAAGGAAACCCACCUUGGGAGGAAAUCUCACAAAUGAAGCCAUGAAUGCCACCGCUAAAGCCACAUUGUCAUUGUCUAUAAAAACAAAAUUUCCUCUUUAUUUCAGAGAACCUUUUUGGAUACUUUUCACUAGACUUUCUAGACAGGUUUAGAGAGACUUUAGAAAGUCUUCUCAUCUAUUUCCUCUGUACUAUAAAGAACAUCAUUAAAGGAUUAGGAGAUAAAGUUCCUUCCUUGUAUUAACUUCUUCCCAUCCAUUAUGAGAAAAUAAAUCUCCUAGGUGUUGGAGUGAGAUGUAAACCACAACAAGCUCUGGCUAAAAAAACA